GAUGAACGCUGGCGGCGUGCCUAAUACAUGCAAGUCGAGCGAACAGAUGAGGAGCUUGCUCCUCUGACGUUAGAGGCGGACGGGUGAGUAACACGUGGAUAACCUACCUAUAAGACUGGGAUAACUUCGGGAAACCGGAGCUAAUACCGGAUAAUAUAUUGAACCGCAUGGUUCAAUAGUGAAAGACGGUUUUGCUGUCACUUAUAGAUGGAUCCGCGCCGCAUUAGCUAGUUGGUAAGGUAACGGCUUACCAAGGCAACGAUGCGUAGCCGACCUGAGAGGGUGAUCGGCCACACUGGAACUGAGACACGGUCCAGACUCCUACGGGAGGCAGCAGUAGGGAAUCUUCCGCAAUGGGCGAAAGCCUGACGGAGCAACGCCGCGUGAGUGAUGAAGGUCUUCGGAUCGUAAAACUCUGUUAUUAGGGAAGAACAAAUGUGUAAGUAACUAUGCACGUCUUGACGGUACCUAAUCAGAAAGCCACGGCUAACUACGUG
rnacentral:rRNA from 1 species